rnacentral:rRNA from 1 species
AGCUACAGGCUUAACACAUGCAAGUCGAGGGGCAGCAUGGUCUUAGCUUGCUAAGGCCGAUGGCGACCGGCGCACGGGUGAGUAACACGUAUCCAACCUGCCGUCUACUCUUGGACAGCCUUCUGAAAGGAAGAUUAAUACAGGAUGGCAUCAUGAGUCCGCAUGUUCACAUGAUUAAAGGUAUUCCGGUAGACGAUGGGGAUGCGUUCCAUUAGAUAGUAGGCGGGGUAACGGCCCACCUAGUCUUCGAUGGAUAGGGGUUCUAAGAGGAAGGUCCCCCACAUUGGAACUGAGACACGGUCCAAACUCCUACGGGAGGCAGCAGUGAGGAAUAUUGGUCAAUGGGCGAGAGCCUGAACCAGCCAAGUAGCGUGAAGGAUGACUGCCCUAUGGGUUGUAAACUUCUUUUAUAAAGGAAUAAAGUCGGGUAUGGAUACCCGUUUGCAUGUACUUUAUGAAUAAGGAUCGGCUAACUCCGUGCCAGCAGCCGCGGUAAUACGGAGGAUCCGAGCGUUAUCCGGAUUUAUUGGGUUUAAAGGGAGCGUAGAUGGAUGUUUAAGUCAGUUGUGAAAGUUUGCGGCUCAACCGUAAAAUUGCAGUUGAUACUGGAUAUCUUGAGUGCAGUUGAGGCAGGCGGAAUUCGUGGUGUAGCGGUGAAAUGCUUAGAUAUCACGAAGAACUCCGAUUGCGAAGGCAGCCUGCUAAGCUGCAACUGACAUUGAGGCUCGAAAGUGUGGGUAUCAAACAGGAUUAGAUACCCUGGUAGUCCACACGGUAAACGAUGAAUACUCGCUGUUUGCGAUAUACUGCAAGCGGCCAAGCGAAAGCGUUAAGUAUUCCACCUGGGGAGUACGCCGGCAACGGUGAAACUCAAAGGAAUUGACGGGGGCCCGCACAAGCGGAGGAACAUGUGGUUUAAUUCGAUGAUACGCGAGGAACCUUACCCGGGCUUAAAUUGCAGAUGAAUUACGGUGAAAGCCGUAAGCCGCAAGGCAUCUGUGAAGGUGCUGCAUGGUUGUCGUCAGCUCGUGCCGUGAGGUGUCGGCUUAAGUGCCAUAACGAGCGCAACCCUUGUUGUCAGUUACUAACAGGUUCCGCUGAGGACUCUGACAAGACUGCCAUCGUAAGAUGUGAGGAAGGUGGGGAUGACGUCAAAUCAGCACGGCCCUUACGUCCGGGGCUACACACGUGUUACAAUGGGGGGUACAGAGGGCCGCUACCACGCGAGUGGAUGCCAAUCCCCAAAACCUCUCUCAGUUCGGACUGGAGUCUGCAACCCGACUCCACGAAGCUGGAUUCGCUAGUAAUCGCGCAUCAGCCACGGCGCGGUGAAUACGUUCCCGGGCCUUGUACACACCGCCCGUCAAGCCAUGGGAGCCGGGGGUACCUGAAGUGCGUAACCGCGAGGAGCGCCCUAGGGUAAAACUGGUGACUGGGGCUAAGUA